UUAUAGUUCACACAUUUCAAAAUGCUGAAAGGAAACUCUAAAACUUACUCAUCGUUGAAUGUUUCAAAAGAUAAAAAACAAUUCAUUAUGAUGAAAUAUACUGAUUCAAUGAGAAAUAUUUUGAAAGAAAAAAUCUAUAAAACUAUGAAGACAUUUGGAUAAAUAAUAGGAAAUUUCCUAUUUAAAUAAAGUUUAUAUGUAAUGGCCCUAUAAAAAUAAUAGAUGACUUUGAAUUGCUGCUGUAUUAAAUGAAUUUUAG